AGCUCACUGAGGUGCACAUUCUGAGUAGGAUCAACACCAGAGGGGUUGUUGUCAAGAGAGAAGCUCUUACUAGUGGUCUCUAGGCCUUACUAAACAGGAAACUCUUGAAUCCUAGAUUUUCCCCAUUAUAAGGACUCACCAUCCUCUGGCACAUUCCUUCCCACUCAGGAGAUCUUCUAGAAUAGAGCUCUCAGCCUCCUCACUGCCUAGCCAUGCUCUUAGUGGUCAUUCUACUGCUUGGAAUGUUCUUCACACUGAGAGGAACCAGAGCCCAGUCGGUGACCCAGCUUGAUGGCCACAUCAUUGUCUCUGAAAGAGACCCUCUGGAACUGAAGUGCAACUAUUCCUAUAGUGGAAUUCCUUCUCUCUUCUGGUAUGUCCAAUACCCCAGCCAAAGCCUUGAGCUUCUCCUCAAGGACCUAUCAGGGGCCACCCAGGUUAAAGGCAUCAAAGGUUUUGAGGCUGAAUUUAAGAAGAGCGAAACCUCCUUCUACCUGAGGAAGCCAUCAGCCCAUGUGAGCGAUGCUGCUGAGUACUUCUGUGCUGUGAGUGACACAGUGCCUGGGACUACAGAAGGAGCUGAACACAAACUUCCUGAGACACUGAGGUCUUCAGCAACUCAAGGGCACAACCUGACCUGUUUGUAG